UGCAGAGGUCCCGAGCGUUGUUCGGAUUCAUUGGGCGUAAAGGGUGCGUAGGCGGGUCUUUAAGUCAGGGGUGAAAUCCUGGAGCUCAACUCCAGAACUGCCUUUGAUACUGAAGAUCUUGAGUGCGGGAGAGGUGAGUGGAACUGCGAGUGUAGAGGUGAAAUUCGUAGAUAUUCGCAAGAACACCAGUGGCGAAGGCGGCUCACUGGCCCGAUACUGACGCUGAGGCACGAAAGCGUGGGGAGCAAACAGG
rnacentral:rRNA from 1 species